rnacentral:rRNA from 1 species
UACGUAGGGGGCUAGCGUUGUCCGGAAUCAUUGGGCGUAAAGCGCGUGUAGGCGGCCCGAUAAGUCCGCUGUGAAAGUCCAGGGCUCAACCCUGGGAUGCCGGUGGAUACUGUCGGGCUCGAGUCCGGAAGAGGAGUGUGGAAUUCCGUGGUGUAGCGGUGAAAUGGCGCAGAUAUCAGGAGGAACACCAAUGGCGAAGGCAGCACUCUGGGACGUGACUGACGCUGAGACGCGAAAGCGUGGGGAGCGAACGGG